GGCCCCGCCCACGAGUGACGCAGGCCUUCGACGCGACCCGCCCCCGGCCCUGGUCCGCCCCACGCCGACCCAAGGUGCUGGGAAUCAUGGCUCUCGCUGCUCUUUGCCGCUGGCCGCUUCCAGCAAUGAGCUCCUCUGGUCAACACUCACAACUGCAGGACUUAAUGGUCACUAUGAUGAUGAUGAUGAUGAUGAUGAUGAUGAUGUUAAUCCUCACCAGAGGAUAUUUUUCCAUUGAUUUUUAGAGAGAGAGAGAAACAUGGAUGUGAGAAAGACGCAUCGACUGGUUGCCUCCUGCAUCGGGCAGGAUGGAGCCCUUCAGUCCAUGGGCUGACACUCUAUCCACUGAGCCAAACCUGCUAGGGCAAUGGUCACUGUUUUAAUCUGAAACCUGUUCAUAUGAAGUGAAAGGAAAAGGAAAUGAAAUCUGACCUGAGAUGAUUCCACAAAAUCCAUUAAAUACAGAAUAGUCUGGAAACCAUACCUAUUUUUUUAGUUUACUCUAAAUGAAUAAAUGAAUAAUUUUAAAAUGAA